rnacentral:rRNA from 1 species
UUGGGAAUUUUGGACAAUGGGCGAAAGCCUGAUCCAGCGACGCCGCGUGAAGGAUGAAAUCCCUCGGGAUGUAAACUUCUUUUAAUUGGGAAAAUUGUGAUGGUACCAAUUGAAUAAGCAUCGGCUAACUACGUGCCAGCAGCCGCGGUAAUACGUAGGAUGCGAGCGUUAUUCGGAAUUAUUGGGCGUAAAGGGCUUGUAGGCGGUCUGCCGCAUUUCCUAUAAAAUUUCGAGGCUUAACUUCGAAUUUGUAGGAAAGAUGAGUAGACUAGAGAACAGCUGGGGUAAACGGAACUCCCGGUGUAGCAGUGAAAUGCGUUGAUAUCGGGAAGAACACCAAUGGCGAAGGCAGUUUACUAGGCUAUUUCUGACGCUGAGGAGCGAAAGCGUGGGGAGCGAAAAGG